rnacentral:rRNA from 1 species
GACUGGGAUUAAGUCGUAACAAGGUAGCCGUAGAGAACCUGCGGCUGGAUCACCUCCUUUCUAAGGAUAAUCGGAAUACUACACUGAUUUAAAUAUCAAGGUUUGUUUGUUUGAGUUCUGUUCGGUUUUCAGAGCGCCGCCCUGAAAACACAAGCAACUGGGGAAUUAGCUCAGCUGGGAGAGCACCUGCUUUGCAAGCAGGGGGUCAUCGGUUCGAACCCGAUAUUCUCCAUUGGCAUUUUUUUGCCAAUUGCACAUUGAUAACUGAAUAGUAAUUUAAUUUCUUGUUAAUUAAAAUCCUGAUGUCUCUUACGACAUCGAGACAUCAGGUAAAUUGAACCGAGAAAUUCACUUCGAUAAAAGUAACUGAAAAGUUACCGCUAAUAAAAUCUAGAGAUAGAUCUCAUAAAUAAUUUAUUAGUUAAUCGUCGAUUUUUAAUCGAUAGGUUAAGUUAAUAAGGGCGCAUGGUGGAUGCCUUGGCACUAGAAGGCGAU